rnacentral:rRNA from 2 species
GAAUCUUAAUAUGUUUGUUCCGCUUACUAAUAAAGACAAUUAAAUGGCCGCGGUAACACUGACUGUGAUAAUGUAGCGUAAUCAAUUGUCAAUUAAUUGUUGACCGGUAUGAAUGGUAUCCCGAAAGUUUUUCUGUCUUAAAAAAAUAUUCAAUGAAAUUAAAUCUGUAGUGAAGAUGCUACAUUUUAAUUGUUAGACGAGAAGUCCCCAUGGAGCUUUACUGUAAGCUUAUAUAUAUAAUUUUUUUUUUUUAUAAGUAAGACAGUUUUGUUGGGGCGACAGUUUUUUAAAAAGUAACGAAAAUGAGCUAUGACGCAUGUUUAACUUUGAAAUUUUUUUAUUGAUGAGACAUUUUUGGUGUGUUUUUUGAUCCGUUAUUUUGAAUGAAAAAAAUAACGAAAACAAAUAAAAGUUACCCUGGGGAU